rnacentral:rRNA from 1 species
GAUGAACGCUGGCGGUAUGCCUAAUACAUGCAAGUCGUGCGGAAAGGCCUCUUCGGAGGUACUCGAGCGGCGGACGGCAGAGUAACGCGUAGGAACAUACCCCAAACUGAGGGAUAACUGCUCGAAAGAGUAGCUAAUACCGCAUGUGGUCUUCGGACUAAAGCUUCGGCGGUUUGGGAAUGGCCUGCGUUCGAUUAGCUAGUUGGUGAGGUAAUUGCUCACCAAGGCGACGAUCGAUAGCUGGUCUGAGAGGAUGAUCAGCCUGACUGGAACUGAGACACGGUCCAGACUCCUACGGGAGGCAGCAGUAGGGAUUUCACAAUGGGCGAAAGCCUGAUGGAGCAAUA